AAAAUUUACGCUGGUAUAGAAAUUACGAACUCCGCCAAAGAUAACAACAAAGCGAGAUUGGGUUCAAUUUUACUUUUUUUGUCAGAUAUAGCUUUGAUUGGGAUAACUAAACACAGAUAUAUAGAGACUACUUUAUGUUUGCUAAACAAUCAAGAUGAAAGAAAGUCCAUUUAUUUCUUCUGAUAAGAAUCGAAAUUUGAUAAUACAUACUGGAGAGAAAAGAUAUCACUGCAAACACUGUGGCAGUUCCUUUUCUUGUACGGGUAAUCUUAAAAAACAUAUGACCAUUCACACAGGAGUGAAGAGUUACCAAUGUGAACUAUGUGAAAGAUCAUUUUUUUUAGAAAGUAAUUUAAAGAAACAUGUGAUUGUACACACUGGAGAGAAGAGUUAUCAAUGUGAAUUUUGUAAUAGAGCAUUUUACAGAAAAUGUUCUCUUAAAAUGCAUAUGAUGGUACACACUGGUAAGAAAAGCUUUAAAUGUGAAGUUUGUGACAAAUCAUUCUACCGAAAAGAUACUCUUAAAUCACACAUGCUUAUACAUACUGGAGAGAAAAACUAUCAAUGCAAGCUCUGUGAUAAAUUGUUCUCUCUGAAAUCUAAUCUUAACAAACAUAUAAAGUUACACAUGAAAGUAAAGGAAUAUAUAUGUAAAGUGUGUGAUGUUUCAUUUUCUUCAAAUAGUGAUCUUGAAAAGCAUACUGCAAUACACACAGGAGAGAAAAGUUAUCAAUGUGAAAUCUGUGGCAAAUUAUAUGCUAGGAUAGGUUGUCUUAAGAAACACAUGUCCAUUCACCCAGAAAAAAUUAUUAAUUAUAUAUCAUGUGAAAUAUGCAACAAACUAUUUUCUCAUAAAAAUACUUUAAACGCUCAUAUAUUAACCCACACUGUAGUGGUGAAUCAUCAAUGUGAAAUUUGUGAGAAAUCGUUUGUCAGAAAUGAUUAUCUGAAAAAACAUAUGACAAAACAUACAGGAGAGACUAAUUAUGUAUAAUAUAAAAUAUUACGAAAAAAAGUCCCACAGCACAUAAUGGUGAGACAUGCUCAAGAUGAGAGCUUUUGUUGAGAAAUAUGUGAGAUAUCCUGAAUCAUGAUCUUAGAAGCCAUAUUGCAAUACAUAGAAUGAUACACACUUGUGAGAGGAAAACUAUCAGGAAAUCAUUAAUCUUUGAGAAGUCAUUUUCUCAAAAAUGUGUAAUCUUAAAAUGCACAUUACAAGAGUAAAAGUGAGAUAAUAUUAUAGACUGUAUUUCGUGGAUUGUGGUUUUAAAUCUCUUAUUAUGGCAAGAAAGACAUGAGAAUAGAUAUUGAUAAGACAUUAAUUUGACACAGAGUCCGCUAUAAAUGUGAGACAUAUUGUGUUCCAAAGAUACAACAGCCUCAACAUCAGUUGUAUUUAUUGUUACAAAAUGUUCAAGAUAUACAUGUAUGUUAUCAACAUUUUUGAUAUUGCAAAGUGUUUAAAGUUGUGUCAGUUUGUCAGAUAAGUUAUUUUAACUUGAAUACAUGCAAGUAUAUGUUACAAUAUUUUCUGUAUAAUACAUGUAAAUAACAGUCCAUUUUGCCCAAGAAAUGCUUUAAAUUUCACUUCCAAAAGCUUAAUUUUUAUUGUACUGUUAUAGUUUCCAUAAAGUUACUCAUUGGCCAAUUACCUGAACCAUCUUUUUCAUUGUUGCUUUUUGGUAAUUAUAACAGUUACAUUGAUCUUGUAUUUUGUAACUACUUAGUUUAUAUUUUGCUACUUUUAUGAUAGAUAUUAUCUCACAUUUAGUAUAUAUCUGAAAGAAUUUUGACAUAUAUUGUUAUGCACCUGGUUGUGACCAUCCGUGUCCAGUCUGUAUCUUUUGAAAGUAAAACCUUUUGGCAGAAAUAUUAGUGAUGGUGUGCAGAACACAACUUUGGAAUUUCUAAGAUCAAAAUUGGCCCCGCCUGGGAAUUAAAUUGAUUUAUAUAGACUUAUAUAGGAGUUUUUUGUGUCCGGUCUGUUUCUUUUGAACCGAUGGAAGAAAAUUGAAACUACAGUACUUGGCAGAAAUUUUAACCACAAUGAGACAAUGUGCAGAGGGCAGGUUGACCUUUCUCAGGUCAAGGUCACACUAAGUCAUUUUGUAUCAAUAUCAAAAUCUAUUUGGCAGAAAUAUUAAUAUUACUGAGAUGAUGUGCAGAGUGCAGGUUUGGGCUUUUUUGGGUCAAGGUCUAGUUCACACUUUCUCAUCCAAAAUCCUUAUAUGUGUACAUAUUGCAAAGGGAGAUUACAAUGUAUGAAUUUAUUAAUAUGUUUCCUCCUCAUAUAUAUAGGCUACCUCCCUUAAUUUCCCAAUGCUACCUCUGUUUUGCCAUAUUGUUGGCAGUCUUACUCUAAAUGAAAGACUGAUAUAAUAUAAAGUUGUUGUACCUGUUUUAUCAUGCAUUAAAACAAAAUACAUUGUAUUUGUUCAAAGGAAGAAAUACUAAUAUAAUGAGUAUAGAAAGUUUAUCCCAUGACUGCCACUGCAUUUUGAAAAGCUGAAUGUUAAAUUUAAUAAAGGGAGGUAACAGAACAUAUUUUCAUAUGCCAAAAAUAUUCUAUUCAUGUUUAAGCUUAAAUAUUUUGAAUGAAGCAAGGCCUAGUUGACAUCUAAAAAAGUUAUAAAAUCAUACUCCUGGGGGUCAAUAUUGGCCCUGCCCUAGGGGUCACCUAAAGAUAGGAAAUCUUCAAAUAUUUGUAAGCAUAGCAUUUUGAUUUUUAAUUAUAUUUUAUACAUACUAUUUUGUGCUUUUGAUUUUCUGGUGUAAUAAUAAUUGUAUGUUUUUUGUUGUUUUUUUAAAUUGUUUAUAAUUCGAAUACCUACAAUAUUGUUGUUGUCAGUAUGUAUACUCUUUGACAAUUGCAUGGAGUUUAAUUAACCUCUCUGCUUUAAAAUUUAGAAAAAUAAAUGAGACUUACCUUGGUUAAGUUGAAGUUUGAUUUCAAUUCUUUGAGUCAGAAUUGAGUGAGGGGCUUAACUGAGAUAUUAUUGCGCAUGCGCAGUUCACUAUUAAUCAGUGUUUUUUGCCAUUAGUAAACAACUAUGAAGAAUGUAUUUUCUAUAAUUCAAUUUCUGUAGGGAGGGAGGGUGGCAGUUAAGCCCCUCACUCAUUUCUUACAUAAAGAAAAUGAAAUCAAACUUCCAACUUAACCAAGGUAAGACUCGUUUAAUUUUUUAAAAUUCUUUUUUUGGGGACUUACAUGAGGCUUUAAAGCAUUAAGUGAAGAAAAACCCCACCUAAUCUUAGUGCCUCAAAACACCUUCUUGAAAUUGGUCUCUUCCCAUGUUUAUUUCCUUAUCAUAAAAUUUAGCAAAUGACUUUCCGACGAGUAACAAGAACUCCAGAAAUCUUUGUAUUGGAUCUCGCACUAUGAGAGCCAUAUUUCACAAUGUUUAUAACAUAAAAGCUUUAAAUCCAUCUAGAAAUUGUGCCUUUAGAAACAUUUUUAUAUCAUGGUUUAACAUAACUUAGUAACAAUUUCGUAGCAUUAUUUUCAGUUCUUAUAUUACUUGUGCGUGCCAAAUAUUCCUUCAGCAAAGUCUCCUAUCUGGAUGAUAAGCUUUAAAUAAUUAAAGUUAAUGUUACAGUUUGGUCUGUUGUGCUUUAGCAACACAUCAAAUUAAAACACAAACUAUGAUUUUAACUUCUUAUAAUCAUUAUAAGUAAUCAAUUGUAAUGUUUUUACACAUGCAGCACGAGUUAUGGCCAUGAUCAUCACCAGCUUUAAUGUGAGAUUUUUCAGUGAAAGUCUUACUGAUGAAAGUUUUUUCAAAUAAAUUUAAACUUUAUUCACAUCCUUAACUUCAGUAUAACGUGAUCUUGUUGGUCUGGCUGCAAAUACACCUUUCAUGAAUCUAAUUAUUAGUGGAAGAUUUCCAAUCCGAAAUUCUUCAAAAUGAAUUCCCAGAGCAGAGAGAGCACCACGACCUGUAUUAAGACUUUCAUAACCAAGACCUUUGUUAAAUUGAUUUUUUUCAAAUUCGACUACUUUCUCCAAAGUUGGCCAACUUGGAGAAAACUUCCUUUCAGUACAGUAGCGAAACCACCUGGUUACGUGUGUAUUAUACUGUUUUUUAGUACCUGACUACCAUGAUAACAUGAUUAUUCUGGUAGAGUCCUCUGAAAAUCCACGUUUUCUGAAACUAUCCCUGACACUUUGCAAGCUAUAAAUCUGAGCCUGUCCUCGAGAGGAUGUGACGUUUGCUGAAGCGAUAAUUUCAGCAAACCUUUCUUCUUUUGAAUUAUAACUGGCGUGUCUACCAAUAUUUCCAUGAGCCUUGGAAACCAAGGUUGAGUUGUCCAAAGUGGAGCUAUUACACACCUCUUCUCAUUUUCUGCACACAUCUUCCUUACAAACUAGAAGGCGGAUAAACAUAUGCAUUAUUCACAAUUUUUCAAUCUAUGGAAUACGCCCACAUAAAUACAAUUUGGAGAGCAAUAAAUCUUGAAUUAUGUAUUAAAUCCUAGAAGCAAAACAAUCUAUAAUUGGGAUACCCCACAGAUCGCAUAUCUUAUUAAAAAAAUUCAUCCAGUUUCCUUAAAUUUUCUAGAAGUCUGAUCAGCCUCUUAAUUUUCUUUUCCUGCAACAUAUGCAGCAGUUAACUAUAUGUCACUGCUAUACACCAGGUCCAAAUUUCAACGGCAAUCUUAUUACACUGCAGGGAUACAGUUCCACCCAUAUUGUUGAUAUAACUGAGCUGUAGUAUUAUCGGACAUUAAUUGUACAUGCUGGGAAACAAUAUGCUUUCAAAAGGAUUGCAAUGCAUAAACGAUUGCUAACAAUUCCAUUAUAUUUAUGUUUUAAAGCUUUUUUCUUCAACAAGCCAUCAGUCUGUUAUCUUUUUAUUUAGUCCCACAUCUAAGAAACGCAUCUGUUUCAAUAAUGGUAGUAGGGGUUGACCGAUUUAUUGAUCAUGAUUGUUGUCUCAAAUUAUUAAACCACCAAGUUAAUUCAGAGGGUAUUCUUUACUCAUUUCAGGUCUCAAAAAAAUCUUUCCUGGUCGUAUCUUGUUGCUUAUUUGCAUGACCUAACAACGCAAGGACAUCAUUACACUGCUCAAUCACCGGACCAAGCUUCCCGUCAUUCUCUGAAUCAAAUUGGUCCAAGUCAUUGACAACUUUUACUAAAAUCGUACCACAUUUAAUAACUGAUUCUUCAAUGUAUUGAAGUUUCCUAUUUGAUUUUCUAGUAUUUGGGGAGGCUGCGUCCCAUAUCAGUUGGUUCAUUUUCACAACAUAUAAAGCGUCACAGCUUUCAGACCUUUGAUCAGUUUAGUAUAAUGAUCCUCGUCAAGUCCAUUCACGCAUUUACGGUUGAAUGACUCUAAAACUCUAGAAUUCUUUUUACGAGAUCACUUUCUGUGGUCUUAAACCUCUUAGCCAUAUUCUUAAACCUGCUAUUUUUGUUCUCAUCUUCGUUUUUCCUCUUACCCUGUUCAGGUUGAUCAACAUAAUCCUGAUUGAAAGUGUCCACGGGAUCAUUAUCAUAAUCAUCAUCAUAAUCAAACUCUUCAGCAUAUUGUUCACAAUCUUCAACUUUAUUAGUUAAACUAUAUUUUUUUUUGCUUUUUGUUCCGGCAUUUGACGAUCAAAUGAGCUUUUCAUAUUUUCUAAAAGAGACAGCAUUUUAUCUUCUGCAGUUUUGCCCACACUCGACGAGCUUGUACUAGCAGUUUUGUCUGGUACUUUUUCUUACGCUUUCUUCGGCGCUUUACCAUUAUUCUUUUCUUUCGUAACCACUGCUUUCUGCAGCUUUUUUAUUCACUUCUUUGGCAUCUGCCAUGACGAUGAUCACACCACGUUCGAUCCAAAACAAUCGCCUCGUACAACGAUAAAAAAAACGCAAAAAAUAACUUGAACUUUAGUUACGUCCACACACAAUAAAGAAGUUAAUUCUGUCGAAAGUUUCGAAACACAACAAGUCAUAAACUUAGAUCGUUCUCCGACCAAUAAAACUUUGAUAAUUUACAAAUUGUGUUUCCCAGCGUGAAACACAACCGGAAAAGUGAACUGCGUAUGCGCAUCAGUAUCUCAAGUAAGUCCAGAAACAAAAUUCUUUCACGAAAAAGAAUUUGAUUUUGAAGGGCAUAAGUGGGGUCUGUACCAGACAUUGAAAGCUGUGAUAUAUAUAAUAAAUAUUGUCACUAAGUAUUCAUUUGAAAAGAGCAUAGAUAUGUUCAAUAUAGAUCUUAAUGUUGAUAAUUGAAAUAAAGCAUGUCCAGCCAAAAAUUAUUUUUAAUUACUUUAAAUUUUAAUUAUUUUAAACAAAUUGCAUUCGGGCGUAUAUUGCCACGCCUUUGCGAUGCUCUUGUUUCACUUAAAAGAAUAUCUGCUUCGAUCCUGGUUCAUCGAAGCACAGAGUGCUCUCCGAACAUGUCAUUUUUAGCUCGACUAUUCGAUAAGAAUAAGUAGAGCUAUUGCAGUCACCCGAGCGUCGGCGUCGGCGUCGGCGUAACCACUUAUGUUAAAGUUUUUGUAAUAGUUCAAAUAUUUUCAAAGUCCAUUGACAUAUGGCUUUGAAACUUUGCACACUUGUUCACCAUCAUGACCCCAACCUGUAGACAGGAGGAGGUAACUCUAUCAAGCAUUUUGACAGAAUUAUGCCCCUUUUUUCGACUUAGAAUUUACGUUAAAGUUUUUGUAAUAGUUCAAAUAUUUUCAAAGUCCAUUGACAUAUGGCUUUGAAACUUUGCACACUUGUUCAACAUCAUGACCCCAACCUGUAGACAGGAGGAGGUAACUCUAUCAAGCAUUUUGACAGAAUUAUGCCCCUUUUUCGACUUAGAAUUUACGUUAAAGUUUUUGUAAUAGUUCAAAUAUUUUCAAAGUCCAUUGACAUAUGGCUUUGAAACUUUGCAUACUUGUUCACCAUCAUGACCCCAACCUGUAGACAGGAGGAGGUAUCUCUAUCAAGCAUUUUGACAGAAUUAUGCCCCUUUUUCGACUUAGAAUUUACGUUAAAGUUUUUGUAAUAGUUCAAAUAUUUUCAAAGACCAUUGACAUAUGGCUUUGAAACUUUGCACACUUGUUCACCAUCAUGACCCCAACCUGUAAACAGGAGGAGGUAACUGUAUCAAGCAUUUUUUUUACUAUCAAGCACUAAGAAUAGUCGAGCUUUGCUGUCCUACCGACAGCUCUUGUUACAUUUCUGUUGCAUUUGCAAUUGUCCCUUUUCUGCCCAACAAUGCCAUGUCUAAUGCUCGAUUAAUAUAUCCAAGUUCACAGUCACAUUCGGAUUUUCCGUGCUCCGAUCCGAAGUAGUUCCGUUCUACAUUAACAUAUUUCAGACUCUGAUAUGCAAAGGUACAUCUGCUUUUAUACUGUGCCGCGCAGCCGCCUGAGAAGACAGCUACCUUCUCAAAUGGUACCCGAGCUCUUUCAGAUAGUCAAAAGUUUGUUUCAAGCAUUAUGGUCAUGUGUUAGGUCGUCACUCAGAUAAACAAGGGAUGGUUAACUGAGGUACAACCGGCGAAUGGUAAAAUACCACAACAGGAUGAACAGUUACUUGUCUUGUGUCGUAUAGUUAACAGAUUUAGGUUUGUCCUGAUAUCGAAUCGUUCCGUUUUUCCAAAAGUCCAUUACAAGUAAUACCCAGUCUGUCGGCAGAUUACUUCGCAUUACAGCAAACUGCCGUUGUUGCCAUUGUCCUAUAAAUUAAUUUUCUUGAAAACUCGUACAUUGUACUUGUUCCAUCACAUCACUGAUAAGUUCUUCCAUUAUUGCUGAAACAGCUGUCUUCUUGCUUUUCAGAACCUUCCUUGCCUUUCCGUCUUCCACCAGGUCAGCAUGAUUUCAUUUUUUCAUUCUAUACAGUCUUCCUUUUGUGUAAACGCAUUUUGGACAUUUAUGAAAUAAUGCAGCUAGAUGAAUAGAAGCGCUGUGCGUAGUUUUUUGGACAUAUAAUGUCCAGAAAUUGACUGAUAUCAGUGACUUUUUCAAGACUUAGGCUCUCAGUUUAUAACAAAUAUUUUGGCAUGUUAUGCAAACACAGAAAUUCCAGUGUUUUACCGACAGCAGUAACAUUCUUAGGUCUUACAAGUUUCUAGCUAAGCGUUCUGUGCUCGGUGAAACUCUAUACGACUUGGGAUAUUUUACGCCAUGUGAGUGUAUUCUUUUUACUCACUAGUUUUGCUAUCUUCUUUCUGUUGAAACUCAUUUACAACCAGGCUCUCCUGUUGUUAAAAACUAGAAAUUGGUUGAUUUUGUACAUGUGAACCUUUCAUAUUUUCUGAAAAUUCUUUAGUUUCGUCACAUUUCUGAACUAUUGAGCUGAUUUCCAUCAAUUCUACGUCACAUUUCUAUUUUUAUUGGCUGAUUUCCAUAAAAUCGUCAACAUCUUGUCGAUUUUUUGUGUAUUUUGUACAAGGUUCUUCACAACACAAGCAUACUUCUCUGGAUUUAAUGGUAAAACCUUCCUGGCUUCCGAAGUAACAUUAUACUGUGUCUUCUUUGACCUGAACCUACUUUCAGACUGUGGUGUUAAAUAUGUCCUGUUUGACUGUACUUUAUUUUGCUUACGUUCCUUUUUCCUUACCCAUGCCUUUUUAUGGGAGGGCAUGUUUUGUCAGUACUUUCUUUUGGAUUCUCGCCAUUUUUCCCUAAGACUCUUGUUCUUAAUAUGUCUUAUGGGCUCGGCGGGAUUCUAGUGAAACUGCAUAGAAAUGUUUAGCAGUGUCCCGUGCAUGAACCGGGUCUCUAGGUUGAAGGUUACGGUCACACUCAAGAGUUAUCUAAAAAUGUUUGAAGAAAAACUUCUACAUUCAUCGGGGGAUUUUAAUGUAACUUGACACUCAUGUUUACCAUUUUGAGGCUAAGUAUUGCAAAAAUCAAGGUCCCUGCCACCAAAGACAAGGUCACAUAGAGAGUUCAAAGUUAAGAUAAAACAGAAGAUGUGUACAGGGACCAUUUAGUCUUCAUUUAUUGAUGAAUUGUAUCACAAAUGAUAACUAACAUGACUUCAAGUGUGACACAUGUAAUUUAGGUUAAUAUUUGCGAGUCAAGGUCACUAGAGAUGAUAAAAUAUCCAGAUAUUGUCCGGAUAUUGCCCAGAUUAUAUCUCCUAUAUGCAUAUCUGUAAUGCCAACAUCUUUGUCAAAAGCUUUUGUGAGUGGCGUAUUCUGCGACAAUGUGCAUCACUUUACCCUAGAUUUUUACACAGCGAUCUACUUUUUGCAUAAGAGUGAAUUGGUCUUUAUUGAAAGGUCUUCAAUAUCAUUAAUAAUUAUGUAUGUAAAACUUGUACAUGUAUUAUAAAUUACAACUCAUUAGAGUAUUAUAUUGAUGAUGUUGGUAAAUGUGUUUGCAUGUUAAAGGAUAGUCUGUUAUGUCAAAAAAUAGCUUUUAUAUCUGGUAUUAUUACGUUUUUUUUUGACUAUAAAUAAAGAUUAUCGUAUCUUUGA